GACGAACGCUGGCGGCGUGCUUAAUACAUGCAAGUCGAGCGAGGCCUUGGAAUUGGAGUCCUUCGGGAUGAAGAGUCCUUGGCCUAGCGGCGGACGGGUGAGUAACGCGUGGGCAACCUACCCCAAAGUCCGGGAUAACAGUGGGAAACCGCUGCUAAUACCGGAUGACUUUACCUGAGGGCAUCCUCGGGUAAAGAAAGGUUACGCUUUGGGAUGGGCCCGCGUCCCAUUAGCUAGUUGGUGAGGUAACGGCUCACCAAGGCGACGAUGGGUAGCCGGCCUGAGAGGGUGAACGGCCACACUGGGACUGAGACACGGCCCAGACUCCUACGGGAGGCAGGCAGUAGGGAAUUUUGGACAAUGGGCGCAAGCCUGAUCCAGCCAUUCCGCGUGCAGGAUGAAGGCCUUCGGGUUGUAAACUGCUUUUGUACGGUAACGAAACGGCGAGCUCUAAUACAGUUUGCUAAUGACGGUACCGUAAGAAUAAGACACCGGCUAACUACGUGCCAGCAGCGCGGUAAUCUCGUCU
rnacentral:rRNA from 1 species